UAAAUCUCCCCCUUUGAUGCACUUGAGGAGUGAUGGUUGGCCCAUCUGGUCUGAUCCCACAAAGGAUCGACUAAAAAAAAAGUAAUACUUGUCGAUAGGUGUCAGAACACACAGGGCAUCGCAACUUGAGACUGAAAAAUCAGCCUACACAUACAGUGAGAGAAGGAAGAAUGUGAGGAUACGGAGCAAGCUGCGUCAUCAUCUACGACUGAUUUUGUGGAGAAAAUAUUCCGCGCCGAGCGCUUGCAAAUGAGAACAACAGAUGUGAUGUGCGGAGUGCGAAUGACUGAGCGAUGCAGUAAUGUAUGAAUACGUAAAGACUGUGGAAGAUUAUGCACAACGGCGGAGCAGUAACCUGCUAUUUGAGGAAGAUUAGAUGCUCUGUGUGUGACCUACGAGUUUAUGGAAUUUACCAUUGAAAUGAAUAACCCCGACCUCGUGCUUACUGGCCUCUAACCUUAUUUGUAUGCUGGAAACUGGUUCCUCGCACUGGUAACGCUCCUCGGAAAGUAAUCUAUCUAUUCUUUUAUUCAGCAAUAAUUUAGAGUACAUUUUUCUUUCUUCCAUAAUUUUUCUCUGCAGCAGAUUUUUUAUUAUAUUUUUUAAAUUGUCACCACUAAAUG